CCUGCCCUUCCCUACACCUCUUACUUCCAAGGGCUUGGUUUCUGCAGCCACUUUCCUGCCAGCUCUGAGGAGAUUUUUCCAGAAAAUAGCCCAGAGCGCUUCUACGGCUCAGCCAUGCUCCCAUUGCUUUUCUCAAUACUGGGGAUGAUAUUUGUCAUGAGAGAUGCCAGAGCCCAGUCAGUGAGCCAGCCGGACCACCACAUCAGAGUCUUUGAAAGAGCCUCACUGGAGCUGAGGUGCCAGUAUGUCUAUGCUGCAACUCCUUCUCUCUUCUGGUACGUCCAAUACCCCAGGCAAGGCCUCCAGCUUCUCCUCAAGAACCUCUCAGGAAAGACGCUGGUUCAAGACAUUCACAGCUUUGAGGCUGAAUUUAAGAAGAAUGAGUCUUCCUUCAACCUGAGGAAAUCCUCAGCCCAUUUGAGCGACUCGGCUGUGUACUUCUGUGCUCUGAGUGACACAGUGCCUGAGACUGCAGGGGGAGCUGAGCACAAACCACUCAUCACAGUGGAGUUUUCAGAGACUUAAGAUCUGUUCCUGUGGUAUCUUUAAAGAUCUUAUGCUAUCUGAUAGCAAAUGAGGCAAAGAGAGUUGCGCAGACCCAGGUACUUUAAAUAAUUCCACAAUCCCUUGCCUGGUAAACAUUAUUUCAAAAGCUUCCUGCUCUUUAUAGCACCUACAUGAUAAUAGUGUUCUAGAAUGAUGAGGGCGACAUUGUGCCUAUCACAUCGUAAUUUUAUUUGCCUUGAGGUUGACGACUUUAAGGGAUUUACUCUGUGGGUUUUUAUUCAUUAUUUUCUCUUUUUCUCAACCCAGAAAACAAAAGGUAAACCCCUCAAG